GACGGGGCAGCGCCGCGGCCGGGCUGCGCUGAAAGGGAAGGGCAGCUGAGGGAUCCCUGACUUGUGUGAGGGGAGAGGCCGGUUGUGGGACUCGGCAGCUGAUGGAUCCCUGACUUCUCUGAGGCAAGGAGCUGGUUAUGGAGCCAGGCUGUGAGGGAAGGAGCUGACUGUGGGACUGGGCUGUGAGGGAAGGAACAGCUGAUGGAUCCCUGAAUUAUAUGAGGGUAAAGGAGCCAGCUGAGGGAUCAGGCUUUGAGAAAAGGGGCAGCUCAUGGAUCCUUGACUGCUAUGAGGGAAGGAGCUGGUUGUGGGGUUAGACUGUGAGGGAAGAAACAGUUGAUGGGUGCCUGACAUCUGUGAGGGAAGGAGCCGGGCUGUGAAAGAAGGAGCCAGUUGUGGGACUGGGCUGUGAGGGAAAGGGCAGCUCCGGCAGCCAGGCUGUGCUGGGAGUGAAGGGGCUGGUUGUGGGAUUGAGCUGUGAGGGAUGGGGCAGCUGAUGGAUCCCUGACUGCCAGGAGAGAAGGAGCUGGUUGAGGGGUCAGGCUGUGACAGAAGGAGCUGGCUGCGCAGCAUGGGGCCAUCUUGCCUCUUGAUGAUCCCUGCUCCCUCUAAUCUCAUUUCCUCCCUGUAAUUCUCACAGCCCAGCUGUCACCUUUCCCCCCCUCCUGUUUUUAUAACCCCAAUCACUUUAAGUGAGGCAAGAGGCAAAUACAAGGGACCUGAUGGACAACUGGGACUGAUGCUGAGGAGUCAGUGAUGGCCCCAACGCUCCCUGUGGAUCAGCAGGUGAAGGUGAAGUGGAUCAGCAGGUGAAGGCCCAGUUGGGCUGUCCCAGGAAGCUGAGAGUGAGCAGCACCCUCCAUCACACUUGCUGUGUCCCCCCCUAAAUGCUGCCUGAUUGAAUAAAAACCGUCUGUAAAAGCCCCACCAAAGGCAGCGCUGAGGAAAGGCACCUCCCGGCCGCCGGUAAGUGGGCUGUGUACACAGGCAGAAUGAAUAAGUGUAAAAGGAGCUGUUUAUCUGCAGAGCACACCCAGCCUGGACCUGGCCGGACAGACAGACAUCCUCCCACAGACCUGCAGUGACUCCAGCCUGGGCACACAGGGACCCUCCUUGCUGCCUUAGAGUGGGUGACACAACAUAAAACCCCUUGUAAAUCACCAAAGGAAUUUGUGUGCUCCGGGCACACAGGACUCCUGCUGGGAAGCCCUUCCAGGCCCUUCCAGGCCCUUCCUCUGGUGUUUAAGAGCCUUGUUUCCAGCCUGCCCAUAGUCACAGGCUACAGACACCCGACAGGCUUGUGCCAAGGCUUCCUGCAGCUCAUCUCCUCCUGCAGGGCGUACCCUGGGAUCCAUCCGCACUCCGCUCUCCUUGUGCUGCCCUUAGCUUUUGUUUUCCCAGGCUGUGCACGCCAAUUUGCUCCAGUCUCUUUUCUUUUUUGUAAGACGAGCCUGCAGCCUCCUUUCAUCAGUCUCUGCAGCCCCUGUUUAGCUCUGCCAGCAAAACCAAACAAAUUACAAGAAGGGCUGAAAGCACUGUGAGCUACAGCAGAUUUCAGUAAAUCCACUUCCCCCAGGGAAAGUGGGAAAAGACUCAGGGUUUGGUGGACAGUUGGGGCCACCCCAUCCCUGGGAUAUCACCAGCACCCUCUCCCCAGAGGAACACAGCACCUGUGACAACUCAGGGUGAAAAAAACCCCUCCACCAAAACCAAGCCCCUCGUGCUGUGCCACAGCUUCUCCUGACAACGAGAUUUAUGCGCCUUGUUUGCAGAGAAGUUAAUUUUAAGCCCUGCAAAGUUGCUCAGCCAAGGUCACAACGAGAAUAAAAAGGAUUCCUGCACCAGGAGCUGAACAAAAGCACCCCGGGCCUGGCUGUGCACGCUGUGGCACAGCUACAGUACUGCAAGAGAGGAGAUGUGUGCUUAGACAAACCAGGCCCUUGUGCUGGCAGGGCCAGCAGUGCUGCCACAGCACUGAUCUGUCCCCCAGACCAUGGCUAUGCUGUGUGUAGCAGGUGUAGGGUGUAACUCCACGGAUAAAACUGGAGCAUGGAGAAGAGAAGGCUCAGGGAGAAUCUAUUGUGGCCUUCCAGUACCUUAAGGAGGCUUAUCAAAAGGAGAGAGAGGGACUUCUUAUACGAGCAGAUAGUGACAGGACAAGGGGGAAGGGUUUUAUACUGCCAGAGAGCAGGGUUAGAUGGGAUAUUGGGAAGAAAUUCCUUUCUUAGAGGGUGGAGAGGCCCUGGCACAGGUUGCCCAGAGAAGCUGUGGCUGCCCCAUCCCUGGAAGUGUCCAAGGCCAGGUUGGACAGGGCUUGGAGCAACCUGGGCUGGUGGAAGGUGUCCCUGUCCAUGGCAGGGGGUUGGAUCAAGAUGACCUUUAAUGUCCCUUCCAACCUAAACCAGUGUGGGAUUCUGUGACUCUACAGUUCAGUGUAUUUGAUGCCUGCAGUGCCAGAGCAUACACUAUUCCUUGUACAGCCCUGGUGAUGUCGAGUUCUGGAGGAUUUUACUCACUGGAGUCAAGAUGUGUGUUUGCAUUCCUCCCUCCCUGCUCACCUGCCCGUGCCCCAGAGUCAUUCCUCUUAUCUGCUGUGUGUGGAGUCACUGGAGCUGAAAUUCAGAGAGGGAAAAAAAAGCUGAGGAUGCAGUGAUUUGCUUUCUGAUAUUUUGGGCUACUGUUUUGCUUUAAAAAAAUUGUUUUGAAGAAUUUUGUUGAUAUGGUAGAAAAUUUCACUUCCUCUGCAUUCUGUUUGCUCUCCCUUCCUCCCUUUUUCCUUAUUAAAAGGGAAAUUUAAAAAGAGAGAAGAAAAACAAAUGUCAAGCCAACCUUUAGAAUAAAAUUUUCCUUUCAGAUGUCACCACACUCCCUUAACUUCAAGGAACAUGAAAUUUCUUGACAAAGAACACAGUAGUUAUUAAAAAAAAAAAAAAAAAAAAAAAGAAUUAUCAAUAAAACUCCCCCAGCAGCACCUGAGCUGAGCUCUGCCUGCAGCACAGAGGAGCUUCAACCAUGGGCACUGGGAGAGCUGUGAGUGCUCUCCCACAGGGGCAAAACGUGCCUAAGAAGGGCUCAGCUGAGGGGGCAAGUGCUGGACUACCAAUAUAUGAAUUGUUAGAUACAGGCAAGAUUUCAGCUUUAAGUCAUAGGCAUUGUGUUGUGACUCCAAUUUGUUCCUUUCUGGGCUUUCCAGGUGUUUCCAGCCGUGCCUGGUGACACAGGAGGCACAGCCCCACCUGACCGUGCCUCAGUUUCCCCCGUGCCGGGGCUGAGCUGAGCUGCGGAGGGAGAGGCGCCGCGGAAAUGCCGGAGCAUUCCUGGGCCGUGACUGAUCCCGGCGUUAAUGAUCCAAUGCCUCACAGCUUCUCAGCUGACCUGCUGACCAGUCAGCUACGUCAUCUGAUACCAACAGCAACAACAAUUACUGAGUCAGGCUGACACCUUCCAGCAGUUCAAGCAGACUUGGUACCCUUCAGCCACACCUUCCCUCACGCCAGCCCUCUCCUCACAGGAGGACACAGCCAAGGGCCUCCAUUUCCCUCCUCUGGGAUCAUGGGCUCAGCUCUGUGCCAGCAAGGCAGAUCAGGGCAGCUUCCCCAGGGGCACAGGGUGGCAUUGGAGCUGGAUGUGCCACCAUGGCGUAUGAAGCUCUGGGAUCUCCAUGUGACAGAAUUCUAAACUUAAAGAACAUCUUGUUCCAACCCCCUGCCAUGAGCAGGGACACCUUCCACUAGCCCAGGUUGCUCCAAGCCCCGUCCAACUUGGCCUUGGACACUUCCAGGGAUGGGGUGGCCACAGCUUCUCUGUGGGCAACUCUGGCACAAUGUCCCAGGUCUCUGCAGCACCUCCUCACUGUUCCUGGAACUCCAUCUGCCUGAAUCACCUCAUAGUCUCACCAAGCUCACCAGACAUGAGAGCCACCAGCCCCACCACAGCCCCUCUCCUGGGAGGAUGAGAGGGGAGCAACAAGGGAUCAGAAACAACCCACAGAGCAGAACUGGGAGGCACCAGUGUUCAGGGGCUCUGUGAGGGGGGCAGGCAGCACCUUUGGGCUUCAUCUUACAGAUUCUUCGUUACACUGUCCCAGACCUCAUUCAAGGAGUAAGAAAAAUCUGACAUCUAAGAGGGUCUAACAGCAUAACAAAUAUCAUUGGAUGAAGUUCAUACUCUGUGCCUGAUUGUGGAAUAAUCCGGCUGAGACAUCACCAGAGGGAUGAGACUGCCCUUCACUGUGUGAGAGGAACCCUGUCAUGUCCCCUGGCAGUUUGUUUCUGCUGCUCAUUCCCCCUGUGCCAACGUGCACGUCUGCUUUUCACUUGGACUUUGGCAGCCUCAGCCUCUGCUUCUUGUUCUGCCUCUCUCUGACAUUGAAAGGUCCUCUGGUGCCAAACCAUUCCUCCCAGUGAUGGUGCUUACACACCAGAAUCAAGACAUCCCACAAUUUCUGUGAUGAACCGAGCCAGUUGAGCUCUCUAAGCCUCUCCCUGUAAAGCAUUUUCUCCAACCUCCUGUUAUUUGUGCUGGCUGGUGUCUGUGCAAGCCCACAGACUGGCAUUUGUGUGUGGAUGGAAAUCUGUGUGCAGGAGCAGCCUCCCACCCACAGACACGUGCACAGACAGGAGCUGAUGCAUUACAGCUUAUUUAUCCCUCUGCACACAGAGGGACACACAAGCCCUUUUGCUCACAUCACUGGGGACCAGAUGAGCACCCAUGGUAACACAGAGUACUCCUGACCUGCUCCUCUCCCCCUACAUUAUCCCUUAUCCCUGGGACUACUAAGGCAGCUGCUCACUUUUAAUCUUUGCCCCUCAAACCAUGGAGAAAGAUGAGGGCAGGGAGAGUGAGCCCCCAGCUGAGCCACUGUGGUCCCAUGGCCCAGCUGGCACCCAAGCCCUCCACGUGGGUGCUGUGGUUUGAUUAGUUAAUGCCCAGCCAGCACCUGGCGAGCCUCACUAGAAAAUCCUUAGAGAGAGGCAAGGCAUUAAUUACUAUUAUUAUAAAUCUAAUUGCGCUGCCUGGAUUUCUGAUCUCCUCCUCUGGAAGAGUUCCCGUUGCUCAGCGUGAGCCUGGGGAGGAGGAUUGGAUGGUGAGACUCCUGUCCUCCCUUCCCCAUGGGGAUCAGCAUCUGUGGGGACAGUGGUUUGUUUGCACUCCCCACAGGCUCUGGGAACAGGAGGAUUCACUCAGUGAUUCCAGUGGGACUUCUCCUGAGGGAAGGAUCAAACUGAAACCACAGGCUGGCCUCUCACACCCCCUCACCACGCAGGAUUUGCGUUCCUCCCUCACUGCAAAACAACGUUUCACAGGAUCAGGGAAUAUCCUAAAUUGUAAGGGAACAAGGAUCAUUGAAGUCCAACUCCCAGCCCUGCACAGGACCACACCAAGGAUCACAUGGUGUUUAUUGGGCUCAGGUUCCACAGCGCCAGGGAAGGGCGGCAGUCGCUGUUCAACACGUACGAGCAGGCUGAGGGCAAGGCUCCCGGGAUAUCCUCAGGGAAACACUGUGCUCUGGGAGCAGGGCAGCCCCAUACCCAGGCUCUGCCAUCCCAAGAGGUGUCCUGGGCAGGCAGUGAGGUCACUAACCCUGCCUGACAACACCUGAGGUGCAAGACAUUUAUAUCCUGGCUCUCAUGCCUUUCUUCCCUUCACUGCCCAGUUCUUCUGCUUCCCUUUUCCCAUGUAGCAGGUUCCUCUAACAAUAUCACAGCACAGCUGGCCAGGACAGUGACCCACUAUGGCCAGCAGCUCUUCCCUCACACAUCCUGCAGCACUUUCACCUAAAUCCACUGAAUUUUCCCCAGAAAUGGCUGAGGAACACACCCACACUGUUGGUUGUGGGUGAGACAACAGUGAUAUCCGAGACCACCACAGCUGCCAGCCAGAGCAGUGGAUCUCUGUGUGGCUCAGCAGUCCUCUGCUAGGACUAAUUUGCUCAAACAGCCCUGAUGUCCCAAUUCUAGCUGCUAAAAACCUGUGGGAUGGACCCUGCCCUACGCGCCAGAGACAAAAGUCACCAAGAAAUCCCCCUAGAAAUCCCCCAACCAUCCACACAGCCCCAGAGGAGGAGAUGGUGCACCAAGGGUCACAUCAGCAGCCCAGCUUGAGAGCCUUGGGUGGGGGCUCCCCACAACACCCCUCCUCCUCUCCAGCACCUGGCUGCCCAUGACAGCUCAUGGAGAAUCCCACUCCCUCUCCCAGCACACAUCUCCCCACCCUGCUGCUGAGAAAAACACUUCAUUUUCCUGCUCGUCAUCAGUCACUCCACAUGUCCAGAGCAAAAUACAUCAAUCCCCAGCAUGGAGAAACAUGUCCCAGCAGCUGCUCCUGCAGGAAUGCAAAGAGCAACCCUCUUGGCACAUCAUGGAAGGGAUGUCUGAGCCAAACCACGGCUCAGUGCAGGAGCAGAUGCACCCAGCAGACCAAGACUCAGGGUGUCACUGACCCCCCCUCUCCAUCUGCUGCUGCAAGCAGCUCCAGUGAGUGAACAGCCCAACACCUGGUGACACAGCUCAGGGUGCCCUUCUGAACAAACCCACCCCACCAGAACGGAAGGUUAACGUGUCACAGAGCCCUUCCCCGUCACUCGGCGCCAGGGGAAGGCACAGGAUGGCACCCCAGCACUGCUGACCUGGGGACACCCCCUGGGAUGGACCAGAGAGCCACCUCAAGCCAGGCAUGCAGGGGAAGGAGUUAAUCUCUCAGCCCAAGCUGCCGCUGAAGCAGAGCUCUGCCCGAGGGCACCAUCAGCCCUGCACAUUUUUCUUUGUGAAGUAAUGCUUUCCACAGCAGUUUGCUGGCUGGCUGCAUGGGGUGGGUGCUGGGUGGAAAAGCUGGGGGGCAGGGGUGUCUCCCACCACCACACCUUUGCUGUUCCUACCCCUGCUCAUCCCACUCCUCAGUGGGGCUGUCCCGGGAUUGUCCUUCACCAGAUAUUCCCCUUUCCCCACGUCAUUAUUUGGGUUUCCAUGAGCUAAUACACAAAACUCAAAGGUCGAGGGUCACCUGUCGUCAUGAGGCAGGUGAGUCACUUCUGCCAAGGCUGCCUUGGCCAGAGCAGGAGGCAGCACUAAAACGUCCUCCACUGCCAGGACACGAUGCCAGUCCCAGCCACACACGGGCACAGUGCUGGACACCACCCCCAGCCCGUGCCACAGCCAGCUGAGCUGGUGGCAGGUAGAGAGGUUGAGGGUGGGUCUACAAUCCGUUCUCACCAAGUGACCAGGCAGCAACGAUGCUUUGUGCAGUGCUUUGUGGCCCUUCUGUCGAGCCAGUUGGCAAAAUCAAACCCAUUGUCCCCAGGGAGGACACAAGAAAAGGACAGAGCAGCUUGUGACAGGUUCUGGGACACUGCUCCUGCCUGCAAUCCCAGGUCUCUGCACAGAGAAUAACUGCUCAGCCCACCUGCACAGGUCCACUGUGGGUGCAGGGUGGGGACAGAAAAAGAAUAGACCUGAUUUUGGUGUGGCCCAGGAGUGGACCUGGGUACAAAAGUGCGCUGGGGAGGCAUCCAGCAUCACCAUGGGGGCAGUGAUGGAAAAAGCCAUCAGUGCAUCCUCACAGCCCUGCCUCCACACCUCCCACACUGCUGGGAGCUGAGCGUGAUGAGCUUCUGCACAUCUGUGCUGGUUUAAAGGUAAACCAGCAGGGGAAAUGAACCCAACCCAAAAGAGAUUGUAAGUCAGAAUAACAAUUUAAUAAAAACAAUACAAUAAAUACAA